rnacentral:lncRNA from 1 species
UCAACAAAUCAACAAACUCGAUAGCUCUGUUCAUACCCAAAUGGUUAUAACUCUGUUUGAAACAAACAUGAUCUGAAUACAGAAGUAUAGAGUUUAAAGGAGAAUGGAAGAAAAAUAAUUAGGGUUCCGACAAACUGAGAUACCAUGACAACGGUGUGGCGACAACAUUUACUUGCUGAAAAAGUUCACCGUCACCACUCGAUCUACAAACGCGAUGACGACGGAGUUGCUGUUGUUGCUUCAUCAAACCGCCUUUGAACAUAUCCAUCAAAAUCCGACAACCGCUCAUUCAAAAUCCGAAUCGCCUGAUUAGCUUUUCCCAAUUAACUUAUUGCGUGAAACCCUUGUCUCCGAUUAACUGUAGUUGUUCAACCCCUUGUUGCCUGUACCCCAUUGUUUCCGAACGACAGGUGGUAGCGAUGCUAGAGAACAAGGGGUUGGUGGUGAUUGUUAUAUGCUUGGAGAAGAAUGGGGAUAUUGCCAAAGACAGAGAUUAGGUGGUGGUUCUUGAUUGUCGACGGUAGAGGGAUAUUAAAGAGAUUAGGUGGUGGUUCUGAAACUUUGUAAAGUGGGUCCCUCCUUUAAUUGUUUUGAUUUACUUAUAGAAACAAAAUAACUAAGGUGAAAUACCAAUAAUACCCUUGCUUUAAAUAAAGCUAACUGAGUAAUUUAACUCAGUUUGGUGUAAAGGACUUAAAAUGAUAUAAA